GAUGAACGCUGGCGGCGUGCCUAAUACAUGCAAGUCGAACGAAACUUCUUUAUCACCGAGUGCUUGCACUCACCGACAAAGAGUUGAGUGGCGAACGGGUGAGUAACACGUGGGCAACCUGCCCAAAAGAGGGGGAUAACACUUGGAAACAGGUGCUAAUACCGCAUAACCAUAGUUACCGCAUGGUAACUAUGUAAAAGGUGGCUAUACUACCGCUUUUGGAUGGGCCCGCGGCGCAUUAGCUAGUUGGUAGGGUAAAGGCUUACCAAGGCAAUGAUGCGUAGCCGAAUUGAGAGGGUGAUCGGCCACAUUGGAACUGAGACACGGCCCAGACUCCUACGGGAGGCAGCAGUAGGGAAUCUUCCGCAAUGGGCGAAAGCCUGAUGGAGCAACGCCGCGUGGGUGAAGAAGGUCUUCGGAUCGUAAAACCCUGUUGUUAGGGAAGAAAGUGCGUGAGAGUAACUGUUCACGUUUCGACGGCAUCUAACCAGAAAGCCACGGCUAACUACGUG
rnacentral:rRNA from 1 species